UUGGAUUUUAUCACACACCACAAGUGUUUUGGGGGGGAUUGAGAGAGAGAGAGAUCUCUUUCUUUCUUUCUUUCUUUCCUUCCUGGCACUUCAACCAAACGAUCACAACUAAGAGAAUGAGACAGAGAAAAAUGGCUUUGGCUUUUUUCUGGGCUUGCUUGCGAGGGGAACAAAAAAGUGUUUGCCUGAUAAUUGGUUGACUUUGAUAAAUCAAAACAACA
rnacentral:misc_RNA from 1 species